rnacentral:rRNA from 1 species
GACGAACGCUGGCGGCGUGCCUAAUACAUGCAAGUUGAGCGAUGAAGAUUGGUGCUUGCACCAAUUUGAAGAGCAGCGAACGGGUGAGUAACGCGUGGGGAAUCUGCCUUUGAGCGGGGGACAACAUUUGGAAACGAAUGCUAAUACCGCAUAAUAACUUUAAACAUAAGUUUUAAGUUUGAAAGAUGCAAUUGCAUCACUCAAAGAUGAUCCCGCGUUGUAUUAGCUAGUUGGUGAGGUAAAGGCUCACCAAGGCGAUGAUACAUAGCCGACCUGAGAGGGUGAUCGGCCACAUUGGGACUGAGACACGGCCCAAACUCCUACGGGAGGCAGCAGUAGGGAAUCUUCGGCAAUGGACGAAAGUCUGACCGAGCAACGCCGCGUGAGUGAAGAAGGUUUUCGGAUCGUAAAACUCUGUUGGUAGAGAAGAACGUUGGUGAGAGUGGAAAGCUCAUCAAGUGACGAUAACUACCCAGAAAGGGACGGCUAACUACGUG